CCUACGGGUGGCAGCAGUGGGGAAUAUUGCACAAUGGGGGAAACCCUGAUGCAGCGACGCCGCGUGAGCGAGGAAGUAUUUCGGUAUGUAAAGCUCUAUCAGCAGGGACGAAAAAAGACGGUACCUGACUAAGAAGCCCCGGCUAACUACGUGCCAGCAGCCGCGGUAAUACGUAGGGGGCAAGCGUUAUCCGGAUUUACUGGGUGUAAAGGGAGCGUAGACGGCAAGGCAAGCCAGAAGUGAAAGGGCAGGGAUCAACCCUGUACAUGCUUUUGGAACGGUGGUGCUAGAGUGCAGGAGAGGUAAGUGGAAUUCCUAGUGUAGCGGUGAAAUGCGUAGAUAUUAGGAGGAACACCAGUGGCGAAGGCGGCUUACGGGACUGUAACUGACGUUGAGGCUCGAAAGCGUGGGGAGCAAACAGGAUUAGAUACCCAGUAGUC
rnacentral:rRNA from 1 species